UGGGGAAUAUUGCACAAUGGAGGGAACUCUGAUGCAGCGACGCCGCGUGAACGAAGAAGGCUUUCGAGUCGUAAAGUUCUUUUAUAUGGGAAGAUAAUGACGGUACCAUAAGAAAAAGCCCCGGCUAACUACGUGCCAGCAGCCGCGGUAAUACGUAGGGGGCUAGCGUUGUCCGGAAUCACUGGGCGUAAAGGGUUCGCAGGCUGAAAUGCAAGUCAGGUGUAAAAGGCAGUAGCUUAACUACUGUAAGCAUUUGAAACUGCAUAUCUUGAGAAGAGUAGAGGUAAGUGGAAUUUUUAGUGUAGCGGUGAAAUGCGUAGAUAUUAAAAAGAAUACCGGUGGCGAAGGCGACUUACUGGGCUCAUUCUGACGCUGAGGAACGAAAGCGUGGGUAGCAAACAGG
rnacentral:rRNA from 2 species